GAGGGUGAAGUAUUUGAUAAGUACAUCUCAGUUACAUUGAGAAGGACCACUAUAUGGCACUCUUU
rnacentral:tRNA from 1 species